rnacentral:rRNA from 1 species
AUGGCCGGGUCGGCCUUGCGGGAGGCCAGCGCAGCCACAGCCAGCCUGGCGGCGGAGACGACGGGCGAGGCCGGAGCAGGGAGCCUCGCGGAUGCUGAAGCUGGCAGCUUGCCUGGGGGCACCUCUGGCACCUCCACGGACACUCCACCAACCUGGCCGGGGUGGCCCAGCGACGGCUGCGGCGGAGCGGGUAGGAGCUCCCAAUCUGGAUCGGAUCGAGCAGCGGACGGGGCUGCCGGCAGAACGACGCACGACGUGCAGCCAACAGGCAGCCCGGCUGGAGGUGGUGGAAGCAUGCUGGCCGGGACGGGUGGCGGCGACGAGGAGGCCGACGGAGCUGCUGGCGGUGAGGACGGGAGGGGCGGCGCGAGGUCGGGGGAGCUCAUCUUGCACACCUGCUUGUCCUUGCGGGAGGGAGAGGGAGAGCAGCUCGGGCUGAGGCUGGAUCCGGGCGCAGCAGAAGCGGGGGAGGUCGGAGCAAGGAGAUCCGGCCGGCGGCGGCCGCCACGUGCUCACGCGGCCACGAGCGCGGACGCGAGAGCCAUCCUUUUUCCGCCUCCAUAUUGGUGCAUGCAAUAUCCGACCGAAUGCAGGCCAGCUGGUGAUGAUGCGUCGUAUACUACACCACGCCACACGGCCGGUCCAUUUGGAUUGCAGCUAUCUUUCUUUUCCCCCGGCGACGGCGACGGCAGAGGAGCAGAGCGGCCGAGGCGACAGGAGCCACCGGACCACCGCACCGAAACGAAAGACCCCUGUCGUUCAUGUACUGGAGGAAGGAAUCCGGCGAGAAAGGAGACCGGACGAUCGAUCCCGAGCGAGCGACGUACCUCGUGGUGGGGCGGGAGCGGGAUCUCUCAUGGAUCGCGACGCGGCCGGGGACGGAGAUUCUUUUCUUCCGGCCUUCCGGGGCAGAUCCUUGACCACCAUCAACUUUGUAUAGGAUUAGUGCAGCGCCCGUACAUCGACUUUGGGCAAGGAUGA